CUGCCCCCAUCCUUUCCCAUUACAUAUUACAUCCCAGCAGCAGUCAUUAAUAGUAAUGCCCUCAAAAUGCUAUGCUCUCUCCUGUCCUUGCAUCUUCACAUAUAUCAUUUCCCAAAAUGACUUCCCUGAUUUCCAUACCUGGAAAACUCCUAUUCAUCCUUCAAAUCGUAGCUCAAAGCCAUCAUACCCUAUCACCCCCAGACCAACUACCUCUCCUCUCCCCUAUAACAUGGGUAAGUACCUAGUUGUGUACCUGGUCCAUGCCGUCAACAAAAAGAUUCAAACUCUUUUUGACUGUUCUAUCAGUCUUAAGGGCUCUGUUUUAAUGUUAAUGCUGGUAGAGACGACCUGACUUCAGGGAAGAGACAACUCAAUCUUCCCAUCCCCUCUCCACUGAGAGCUGUUUCGUCACUCAAUAAAAUUAUUUCCUUGUUUCACUAUCUCCUUUCAGAUCAUGUCCUCAGAGUUUCAUUCUCUACACCUAAAGCACUCAAUCAAUGUAAUCCUAAGUAAAGCUGCUCCAAAGGCUCGGGUGACAUCUGUUAAAAUAACUACCCUUACAUACACACACACACACACACACACACACACACACACACACAAAC
rnacentral:lncRNA from 1 species